CUCGACCUAUGAAAUGCUAAACUAUGCUAUCAAGUUCAAGGAGGUCUUUCCACAUUUUCAAGACAGAGAAUCGAGUUAUGAUUGUUGUUCAUCUACAGAAGAUUGGAAAAAAAGUAGAGAAAGUGUGCACUAUUCUAGAGUUGUUCUGGACAGCCACACAUGUAAUCUCUUAUAGUGACUAUCCCACAAGCAACUUAUUCCUCCAAGAGGUUGUCAAGGUGAAAAGACUCUUGGAUUCAAGAGUCUUUGAUGAAGAUGAUUUCAUCUAGGCAAUGAUUUAGAAAAUGAAGGCCAAAUACGACAAAUAUUGGGAUGAAUGCAACUUAUUGAUGGCAAUUGGUGCCAUUUUGGAUCUAAGGCAAAAAAUAUGCCUUAUAGAGUUUUCCGUCCCCAAGGUUUAUUCACUUUUUGAGUUAGAAGAAUACCUCACCAAGGUCUGGAAAGCACUCUUUGACGUGUAUGAGGAAUAUGUUGCUGCAACUAAUAGUUCUAGUACGGGUAUAAUUGAGUCCCAAGGUGGUGCAUCUAAUGGCUAGGGUUCAAGGCAGCAAAAGUCUUCAAGUUGGGAUGAUUUUACUAAAUAUAUUGUGGAAGUAUAGACGUCAGCCCUCCACAAAUCCAAAUUGUUAGAUUAUCUAGAUAAACAUUGUCGUCCAAUUGGCUCAGAUCCCAAUUCAUGUGACUACUUGGAGUGGUGGAAAGUCAACAGUAUCACAUACCUGAUUUUAUCUAAGAUGGCCUGCGAUAUCUUGGCUAUUCUGAUAACUACAGUAGCAUCUGAGACCACGUUUAGUGUCGAAACUAGAGUGAUUGAUUCAUAUCGAGCUGCACUAGCUCCAGAAAAGGUCCAAGUGUUGUUGUGCGCUGGAGAUUGGUGUAUAAAUAUGUAUGGGAUCAAAAAGAAGACAAAGCAAAUGAGGACAAUGAAGGAAAUUGAGCUUCCAUAGAUUUGAUUGCCAAUUCAAAUGUGAUUCAAGAAUUAAAGAUCAGGACUUGCUCAUGGUGCAAAUGGAUGGUUUGGAUUGUUGGAGCAUGGAGAACUUUGUUUCUGACUUAUUGCGUGCAUUUUCCUCUAUUUGAUUUGUAAAUUUGGAUUGUGACUACUCAUUGAACUUGUUCUAGACUGGUUGUAUUUGGUUAGUCAACUAGUAGUUGGACUAGUGAACUUUUAAUAGUGAUUUGCUCAUUGCUGU